GCUUGCUCUUCUGGAUGAGUUGCGAACGGGUGAGUAACGCGUAGGUAACCUGCCUGGUAGCGGGGGAUAACUAUUGGAAACGAUAGCUAAUACCGCAUAAUAGCAGUUGUUGCAUGACAACUGUUUAAAAGGUGCAAUUGCACCACUACCAGAUGGACCUGCGUUGUAUUAGCUAGUUGGUGGGGUAACGGCUCACCAAGGCGACGAUACAUAGCCGACCUGAGAGGGUGAUCGGCCACACUGGGACUGAGACACGGCCCAGACUCCUACGGGAGGCAGCAGUAGGGAAUCUUCGGCAAUGGACGAAAGUCUGACCGAGCAACGCCGCGUGAGUGAAGAAGGUUUUCGGAUCGUAAAGCUCUGUUGUAAGAGAAGAACGAGUGUGAGAGUGGAAAGUUCACACUGUGACGGUAUCUUACCAGAAAGGGACGGCUAACUACGUGCCAGCAGCCGCGGUAAUACGUAGGUCCCGAGCGUUGUCCGGAUUUAUUGGGCGUAAAGCGAGCGCAGGCGGUUAGAUAAGUCUGAAGUUAAAGGCUGUGGCUUAACCAUAGUACGCUUUGGAAACUGUUUAACUUGAGUGCAAGAGGGGAGAGUGGAAUUCCAUGUGUAGCGGUGAAAUGCGUAGAUAUAUGGAGGAACACCGGUGGCGAAAGCGGCUCUCUGGCUCGUAACUGACGCUGAGGCUCGAA
rnacentral:rRNA from 1 species